rnacentral:rRNA from 1 species
AACGAACGCUGGCGGCAUGCCUAACACAUGCAAGUCGAACGAGACCUUCGGGUCUAGUGGCGCACGGGUGCGUAACGCGUGGGAAUCAGCCCUUGGGUUCGGAAUAACAGUUGGAAACGACUGCUAAUACCGGAUGAUGACGUAAGUCCAAAGAUUUAUCGCCCAGGGAUGAGCCCGCGUAGGAUUAGCUAGUUGGUGGGGUAAAGGCCUACCAAGGCGACGAUCCUUAGCUGGUCUGAGAGGAUGAUCAGCCACACUGGGACUGAGACACGGCCCAGACUCCUACGGGAGGCAGCAGUGGGGAAUAUUGGACAAUGGGCGAAAGCCUGAUCCAGCAAUGCCGCGUGAGUGAUGAAGGCCUUAGGGUUGUAAAGCUCUUUUACCCGGGAUGAUAAUGACAGUACCGGGAGAAUAAGCCCCGGCUAACUCCGUG